rnacentral:rRNA from 1 species
ACUCCUACGGGAGGCAGCAGUAGGGAAUAUUGGUCAAUGGAUGGAAGUCUGAACCAGCCAUGCCGCGUGCAGGAAGAAGGCCUUCUGGGUUGUAAACUGCUUUUGCCAGGGGAUAAAAUGACCUUGCGAGGUUAAUUGAAGGUACCUGGUGAAUAAGCCACGGCUAACUACGUGCCAGCAGCCGCGGUAAUACGUAGGUGGCAAGCGUUGUCCGGAUUUAUUGGGUUUAAAGGGUGCGUAGGCGGUCUAUUAAGUCAGUGGUGAAAUACUCUAGCUCAACUAGAGGGGUGCCAUUGAUACUGAUGGACUUGAGUACAGAUGAGGUAGGCGGAAUUGACGGUGUAGCGGUGAAAUGCUUAGAUAUCGUCAAGAACACCUAUAGCGAAGGCAGCUUACUAGGCUGUAACUGACGCUGAGGCACGAAAGUGUGGGGAUCAAACAGGAUUAGAUACCCUGGUAGUCCACACUGUAAACGUUGAUUACUCGCUGUGUGCGAUAUACAGUACGCGGCCAAGCGAAAGCGAUAAGUAAUCCACCUGGGGAGUACGCCGGCAACGGUGAAACUUAAAGGAAUUGACGG